UACGUAGGGUGCGAGCGUUGUCCGGAAUUAUUGGGCGUAAAGAGCUCGUAGGCGGUCUGUCGCGUCGGUCGUGAAAACCUGCAGCUUAACUGUGGGCGUGCGGUCGAUACGGGCAUGACUGGAGUUCGGCAGGGGAGACUGGAAUUCCUGGUGUAGCGGUGAAAUGCGCAGAUAUCAGGAGGAACACCGGUGGCGAAGGCGGUUCUCUGGGCAUGUCCUGACGCUGAGGAGCGAAAGUGUGGGGAGCGAACAGG
rnacentral:rRNA from 1 species